rnacentral:rRNA from 1 species
UCCUACGGGAGGCAGCAGUGGGGAAUAUUGCACAAUGGGGGAAACCCUGAUGCAGCGACGCCGCGUGAGCGAAGAAGUAUUUCGGUAUGUAAAGCUCUAUCAGCAGGGAAGAAAAAAAUGACGGUACCUGAGUAAGAAGCACCGGCUAAAUACGUGCCAGCAGCCGCGGUAAUACGUAGGGGGCAAGCGUUAUCCGGAUUUACUGGGUGUAAAGGGAGCGUAGACGGCGAUGCAAGUCUGAAGUGAAAGGCGG